UACGGAGGGGGCUAGCGUUGUUCGGAAUCAUUGGGCGUAAAGGGUGCGUAGGCGGCGCGGUAAGUCGGGUGUGAAAUCUCGGAGCUUAACUCCGAAACUGCAUUCGAUACUGCCGUGCUUGAGGACUGGAGAGGAGACUGGAAUUUACGGUGUAGCGGUGAAAUGCGUAGAUAUCGUAAGGAAGACCAGUAGCGAAGGCGGGUCUCUGGACAGUUCCUGACGCUGAGGCACGAAGGUCAGGGGAGCAAACGGG
rnacentral:rRNA from 1 species